AAUGAAGGUGAUGAUGUGUUUUUGUGUGAGUAUGAGUAUGAUGUGAAUUGGCAUAGCUUUAAGCGGAUUGCAGAGAUC
rnacentral:snoRNA from 1 species